rnacentral:rRNA from 1 species
UGCGUAGGCGGUUUGGUAAGUCUUGUGUGAAAUCUAUGGGCUCAACUCAUAGUCUGCACGAGAAACUGCCGGGCUUGAGUGUGGGAGAGGUGAGUGGAAUUUCCGGUGUAGCGGUGAAAUGCGUAGAUAUCGGAAGGAACACCUGUGGCGAAAGCGGCUCACUGGACCACAACUGACGCUGAUGCACGAAAGCUAGGGGAGCAAACAGGAUUAGAUACCCUGGUAGUCCUAGCCCUAAACGAUGACUGCUUGGUGUGACGGGUACCCAAUCCCGCCGUGCCGUAGCUAACGCGUUAAGCAGUCCGCCUGGGGAGUACGGUCGCAAGGCUAGAA